rnacentral:lncRNA from 1 species
AAGGGUUUCAUUGUUAGCCCUUAUUUAAUACCUUUCUAUCAGGGACCAUAGUAACAGCCCACAGAUCCACAGAUGAGAGUCAACCACAAGUCUUCUUGAUGCAGUAGUCCAUGGCUAUAACCAAAGCUACCUAAAAGGCUGAAGCAGGAAGAACACUUUACCCAGGAGAAUAAAGACCAGCCUAGCCAACAUAGUAUGACCUUGUCUUGAACACAAAACUAAAUCACCUCUAAUUGCUGGAUGUGAAUUGGUCCAUGGAUAAGUACCUUUUAAUAGACUGUUAAGACACUGUCUGGAUGCCUUUAAGUUGUGUAUGCUAUGGUCUUCAGAACAAUUUAUAUACUGUACUGCCUUGUAGGAUAAGCCUAGGUGAAUUGGAUAAUUGUAGCUGAGGAACACUAGAGAGUAGCUGUUACUGCUCUUCUGCUAAGGGUGCUGGUGAGGGCAGCUCUGUGGUUCCUUCCUCUCAGCACUCUGGUGCUUUGAGUGAUUUAUUAAAUCGAGUCUGCCAGGCAAA